GGGGAUGUAGCUCAGUGGUAGAGCACACGCUUUGCACGUAUGAGGUCUCGGGUUUAAUCCCUGGCAUCUCCA
rfam:Gallus gallus isolate RJF #256 breed Red Jungle fowl, inbred line TCD001 chromosome 5, whole genome shotgun sequence.